rnacentral:snRNA from 1 species
GUCCCUUUGGGGACAUCUGAUAAAAACAAUGCAGAAAAAAUUAGCGUUUGCCUUGCAAAGGAUGACAUAAAUCGAAGAAUGGUGAAAUACAUUUUA